AACGAACGCUGGCGGCAUGCCUAACACAUGCAAGUCGAACGAGACCUUCGGGUCUAGUGGCGCACGGGUGCGUAACGCGUGGGAACCUGCCCUUAGGUUCGGAAUAACUCCCCGAAAGGGGUGCUAAUACCGGAUAAUGUCUUCGGACCAAAGAUUUAUCGCCUUUGGAUGGGCCCGCGUUGGAUUAGCUAGUUGGUAGGGUAAAAGCCUACCAAGGCGACGAUCCAUAGCUGGUCUGAGAGGAUGAUCAGCCACACUGGGACUGAGACACGGCCCAGACUCCUACGGGAGGCAGCAGUGGGGAAUAUUGGACAAUGGGGGAAAGCCUGAUCCAGCAAUGCCGGGUAAGUGAUGAAGGCCUUAGGGUUGUAAAGCUCUUUUACCCGGGAUGAUAAUGACGGUACCGGGAGAAUAAGCUCCGGCUAACUCCGUG
rnacentral:rRNA from 1 species